CCUACGGGAGGCAGCAGUGGGGAAUAUUGCACAAUGGGGGAAACCCUGAUGCAGCGACGCCGCGUGAGUGAAGAAGUAUUUCGGUAUGUAAAGCUCUAUCAGCAGGGAAGAAGAUAGCCGGUACCUGCCUAGGAAGCCCCGCCUAACUACGUGCCAGCACCCGCGGUAAUACGUAGGGGGCAAGCGUUAUCCGGAUUUACUGGGGGUAAAGGGACCGUAGACGGCCGUGCAAGUCUGAAGUGAAAGUCCAGGGCCAAACCCUGGGACUGCAUUGGAAACGGUGGAAUUAGAGUGCUGGAGAGGUAAGUGGAAUUCCUAGUGUAGCGGUGAAAUGCGUAGAUAUUAGGAGGAACACCAGUGGCGAAGGCGGCUUACUGGACAGUAACUGACGUUGAGGCUCGAAAGCGUGGGGAGCAAACAGGAUUAGAUACCCGGGUAGUC
rnacentral:rRNA from 1 species